rnacentral:rRNA from 1 species
GACGAACGCUGGCGGCGUGCUUAACACAUGCAAGUCGAACGGAAAGGCCCUGCUUUUGUGGGGUGCUCGAUUGGCGAACGGGUGAGUAACACGUGAGUAACCUGCCCUUGACUUUGGGAUAACUUCAGGAAACUGGGGCUAAUACCGGAUAGGAGCUCCUGCUGCAUGGUGGGGGUUGGAAAGAUUCGGCGGUUGGGGAUGGACUCGCGGCUUAUCAGCUUGUUGGUGGGGUAGUGGCUUACCAAGGCUUUGACGGGUAGCCGGCCUGAGAGGGUGACCGGCCACAUUGGGCCUGAGAUACGGCCCAGACGCCUACGGGAGGCAGCAGUGGGGAAUCUUGCACAAUGGGCGGAAGCCUGAUGCAGCAACGCCGCGUGCGGGAUGACGGCCUUCGGGUUGUAAACCGAUUUCGCCUGUGACGAAGCGUGAGUGACGGUAAUGGGUAAAGAAGCACCGGCUAACUACGUG